rnacentral:lncRNA from 1 species
AGGAACUCUCAGUGGGGCUGGGAGCUCACUGACUGGUUACACUGGCGGCCAGCAAGCUCUGGGAAUCCUUCUUUCAGCCCUGACCCCAAGCACUGUGGUUACAGACCAUGAGGGACUUGUGAUGUUACUACUGUGACCUUGACCCAGCUUCCUCUUCUGCAGUGCUGAAGGGCUGCAGGAAUGAACGCACGAAAGAGAUCAGGGAGAGCUGAGGGUGGUACCCAGCGUGCAAACACACAAGCAGCGCCUGCCAGACUGGCAUCACCAUUACUCAGACUUUAGGAUUAAUAUUUUCUGACUUUCUGAGUUGGGGUGUGUGUGUGGGGGUGUGUGGUAAAGCCCAGGGUCUGACGGCAUGGUUGGCUGAAGACAAGAUCAGCAGCAGCCUUGGGGGCUCACCUAGCACACCAUAGUACCACAGUCAGUGUACAGCAACACUCCCCAGCGUCUGCAUUUCACUGCCUGUGUCUUGUAGGUUUGGACUUUGGAAUAGCCAGCUCCCCUUAACUGGUGACCAGUUUCUGACAUUUCCUUUGGUUUGGGCAUAUCAUUAAGCAAGAAUUUCAAACAGGCAAUCUUAGGCGUGGCUGUCACUCCUUUAGCUUAACAUUUGUAUUCCAUUCAUUCCAGGGAGUUAAGUAAGCAGCUAGCUGCCUUGUGCAAGGUGUACUGAAGAAGUGGAGAUAAAACAGGUAAUGUCUGUCAGGGGUCUCUACUUGCUUCCCCUGCUAUAGAACUGACAACAGAGGGGUCAGGCUGCUGGGGGACACCAAGGCCUAUCAGCUAUAUCACAUAAAAGUAGCUACAGUAAUUUCAACAAAUACAAAGUGAAAAUGGUGAUUAAUAGAUUAGAUAGAUAGAUAGAUAGAUAGAUAGAUAGAUACAUAGAUAGAUACAUAGAUAGAUACAUAGAUAGAUACAUAGAUACAUAGAUAGAUACAUAGAUACAUAGAUACACAGAUACAUAGAUACAUACAUGGAUACAUACAUAGAUAACAUAGAUAAAUGCUUACGUAGAUAGAUACAUGGAUAGAUAGAUACAUGGAUAGAUAGAUGGUAGACAGACAGACAGGCAGAUGAUAUAAAUCACAUUUAUGUACCCUAAACUAGGCUUAAACUCAUUAUCCUCCUGCCUCAGCCGCCUGAAUGUUGAGGGCCUUCGGAAAUGAGCUCUGCCAGCCACUGCUGUCGAAUCCUUGGCACAUGGCAGAUGCUCGGUCAGUUCACUUUCCUCCUUCCUCCUCAGACGUUUCCAGAGCUUAAUAACUGCAUGUUAAUGGGGAACUUGAGAGGAAGACGUGCAGGUGGGAGGGGGAAAGCAAGCUUGCUGCCUCCUUUGGGUGAGGAGAAGACGACGGAGAGGUGAGACUUGCAGCUCAGAGAUCAGUUUAUCUGACGUUCUCCCGGGUAGCCACUCGAUUCCCGUGAUAAACUGACCUCCGCUCAGAUUCACUCUUGUGAACUAUGCUGUCCUGGAUCACUCUCCCCAUCUCCUUACCCUGGUCUGUUUUGUUUUUCCUUCCCUACACUUAUCUCCAUAGACAUUUGUCUGCUCGGCUGUUGCCCACUAAUGGGCACAGUAUCAGAGACUCUAUUUUGUUCCCUGAUGGCAUCAUGUCUCCAGUCUGAAAAUUACUGCUGAAUUUGACCUUGGCCUUAUCAUGCAGCUCUCUGGACUCUCUUGGGUCAUUUUGAUAAUUAAAUGCAUCAAUAAGAAGGCAACACUGGGCACCAUGCCUUGCAUACCCAAAGUUCUCAAUCAAUCCUAGCCACCGUUUGAUGAAUUAUUUUCUAGUUAUCUUGCUGGGAUCUGCUGUGUGCACAGAGCCUCUGGAGCUGCUCUGGAGCUGGGGAUUUCUUUCGUCCUGAGUGGAGUUAGAAAUAGAAAACUGUACUAAUUGGGGACUAUGAAAUCAGCUACUUACCGUUCCAAAGCCAGUGAACUUGAAAUGUCUAAGACCUGCUUCUCAAAUAUGACUGCACAUUGGAGUCCACAGGGAACUCUUAUCAAUUACUGAUGCCUAGAUCUCACCCCAGAGAGUCUGAUGUCAUUGAUGGGGCAGGUGGCCCAAACAUCAGGAUAUAUAUAUUUUUUUAAUUCCCAGGUGCUUCUAAUCUGUAGCUGGGUUUAAGAGCAACUGCUCUACAGACUUCCCCUUGAAUGUCAGUGAGACAAAUGUCUAUUUAUUGCCCGGCUAUUACUGCACCUUCCUAAGAAGAGAAAUUUUCUAGAAGGCUGCCUUAUUAGAAAUUCAUCACUAUGGUCCAACAGGGCCUCUCUUGAGAGAUGGCUGUUGAAGUGGGCUCAGCUGGUGGGUGUAUACGCACGAUGUUGAGCUGCAGGCCAGCCUAGGCUACAUUGCAAGACCCUAACU